rnacentral:snRNA from 1 species
AUAUCACUUAGUCUUUUGGCUAAGAUCAAGUGUAGUAUCUGUUCUUAUCAGUUCAGUAGUUGGAUAGUCCCAUAUUCUUUUCCCUAUUUUAUGGUAAUCUACUACCUAUAUUAUAGUUUAUUCAUUCUACUCCUGAUUGGACUAUGAAAUGUGU